rnacentral:rRNA from 1 species
UACGGGGAUGCAAGCGUUGUCCGGAAUCAUUGGGCGUAAAGAGUUCGUAGGUGGUUUGUUAAGUUUGGUGUUAAAUCCCGAGGCUCAACUUCGGCAUGGCAUCGGAUACUGGCAGACUGGAAUGCGGUAGAGGUAAAGGGAAUUCCUGGUGUAGCGGUGAAAUGCGUAGAUAUCAGAAGGAACAUCGGUGGCGUAAGCGCUUUACUGGGCCGUAAUUGACACUGAGGAACGAAAGCCGGGGUAGCAAAUG